rnacentral:lncRNA from 1 species
UUACCUACUCGUCUCGCCGGACUCUCUACUGGUAAACUUCUUGUUGGUUCGAGUAAUCUCAAGAAUCCAGCUGCUGAGCCAAAGCUUGGUAUCCCUGUGAACACAAAGAUCAUUGAUGAGUUUGAAGGGAUUCAUCUUGAGUGGACUCUUCACUCUGUUGAAACUAAGAAGUAUCUACCCGAGAAACGGUAACCCUAAAACUCUGUUUUCUUCUUUCUUCUUCUCUUAGAUUACAAUCUUGUUUGGUCUGAGUUCUGACAUGUUUGAUGUGUUUAGGUACUUUCAUUUGACAUGUAAGAAAGAGUUUCGAGAGAAGAUUAUGACAGAUUACUUCACUUACUUAGCCAAAUCAGCAGAGAAGAUAAUGAGCCAUCGCGAGAAUCUAAAGAUCUAUACAUAUAACCAAGACCGGUCGAAAUGGGAAUCGGCUAUAUUCGAGCACCAUACAACCUUUGAGACCUUAGCUGUUGAGCCAGAACUUAAGAAGACUUUGAUUGAUGAUCUUGAUUCUUUCUCUAAAGGC